rnacentral:rRNA from 1 species
CCCAAAAAUAAACGUCCCAGUUCGGAUUGCAGGCUGCAACCCGCCUGCAUGAAGCUGGAAUCGCUAGUAAUCGCGGAUCAGAAUGCCGCGGUGAAUACGUUCCCGGGUCUUGUACACACCGCCCGUCACACCAUGGGAGUCGGUAACGCCCGAAGUCAGUGACCCAACCGGAAGGAGGGAGCUGCCGAAGGCGGGACUGGUAACUGGGGUGAAGUCGUAACAAGGUAAC